UGUGGCUCAGUGGCAGAGCACUUGCCUUGCAUACAUGAGGCCCUGGGUUUGAUUCUCAGCA
rnacentral:tRNA from 1 species